GACGAACGCUGGCGGCGUGCUUAACACAUGCAAGUCGAACGGAAAGGCCCUGCUUUUGUGGGGUGCUCGAGUGGCGAACGGGUGAGUAACACGUGAGUAACCUGCCCUUGACUUUGGGAUAACUUCAGGAAACUGGGGCUAAUACCGGAUAGGAGCUCCUGCUGCAUGGUGGGGGUUGGAAAGUUUCGGCGGUUGGGGAUGGACUCGCGGCUUAUCAGCUUGUUGGUGGGGUAGUGGCUUACCAAGGCUUUGACGGGUAGCCGGCCUGGGAGGGUGACCGGCCACAUUGGGACUGAGAGACGGCCCAGACUCCUACGGGAGGCAGCAGUGGGGAAUAUUGCACAAUGGGCGGAAGCCUGAUGCAGAAACGCCGCGUGCGGGAUGACGGCCUUCGGGUUGUAAACCGCUUUCGCCUGUGACGAAGCGUGAGUGACGGUAAUGGGUAAAGAAGCACCGGCUAACUACGUG
rnacentral:rRNA from 1 species